rnacentral:rRNA from 1 species
CACGAGUUUGAUCAUGGCUCAGGACGAACGCUGGCGGCAGGCUUAACACAUGCAAGUCGAACGCCCUCUUCGGAGGGAGUGGCAGACGGGUGAGUAACGCGUGGGAACGUACCUUUUGGUUCGGAACAACUGAGGGGAAACUUCAGCUAAUACCGGAUACGCCCUGAGGGGGAAAGAUUUAUCGCCGAAAGAUCGGCCCGCGUCAGAUUAGCUAGUUGGUGGGGUAAUGGCCUACCAAGGCGACGAUCUGUAGCUGUUCUGAGAGGAAGAUCAGCCACACUGGGACUGAGACACGGCCCAGACUCCUACGGGAGGCAGCAGUGGGGAAUAUUGGACAAUGGGCGAAAGCCUGAUCCAGCCAUGCCGCGUGGAUGAAGAAGGCCCUAGGGUUGUAAAGUCCUUUCGGUGGUGAAGAUAAUGACGGUAACCACAGAAGAAGCCCCGGCUAAUUUCGUG